GGGGCGUUAGUUCAGAUGGUAGAAUAUUUCAUUUGCAAUGAAAAGGUCGGGGGAUCGAUGCUCCCACGCUCCA
rnacentral:tRNA from 1 species